GGGUGAGUAACGCGUAUCCAACCUGCCCACCACUUGGGGAUAACCUUGCGAAAGUAAGACUAAUACCCAAUGACGUCUCUAGAAGGCAUCUGAAAGAGAUUAAAGAUUUAUCGGUGAUGGAUGGGGAUGCGUCUGAUUAGCCUGUUGGCGGGGUAACGGCCCACCAAGGCAACGAUCAGUAGGGGUUCUGAGAGGAAGGUCCCCCACAUUGGAACUGAGACACGGUCCAAACUCCUACGGGAGGCAGCAGUGAGGAAUAUUGGUCAAUGGACGAGAGUCUGAACCAGCCAAGUAGCGUGCAGGAAGACGGCCCUAUGGGUUGUAAACUGCUUUUAUAAGGGAAUAAAGUGAGUCUCGUGAGACUUUUUGCAUGUACCUUAUGAAUAAGGACCGGCUAAUUCCGUGCCAGCAGCCGCGGUAAUACGGAAGGUCCGGGCGUUAUCCGGAUUUAUUGGGUUUAAAGGGAGCGUAGGCCGGAGAUUAAGCGUGUUGUGAAAUGUAGACGCUCAACGUCUGCACUGCAGCGCGAACUGGUUUCCUUGAGUACGCACAAAGUGGGCGGAAUUCGUGGUGUAGCGGUGAAAUGCUUAGAUAUCACGAAGAACUCCGAUUGCGAAGGCAGCUCACUGGAGCGCAACUGACGCUGAAGCUCGAAAGUGCGGGUAUCGAACAGGAUUAGAUACCCUGGUAGUCCGCACGGUAAACGAUGGAUGCCCGCUGUUGGUCUGAAUAGGUCAGCGGCCAAG
rnacentral:rRNA from 1 species